GACGAACCGUGCGAACGUUGUUCGGAAUCACUGGGCUUAAAGGGCGCGUAGGCGGGUCGUCAAGUCGGGGGUGAAAUCUUUCGGCCCAACCGGAAAAGGGCCCCCGAUACUGGCGGCCUCGAGGGGGGUAGGGGCAUGUGGAACUUCCGGUGGAGCGGUGAAAUGCGUAGAUAUCGGAAGGAACGCCGGUGGCGAAAGCGACGUGCUGGACCCCUUCUGACGCUGAGGCGCGAAAGCCAGGGGAGCAAACGGG
rnacentral:rRNA from 1 species